rnacentral:rRNA from 1 species
AGAGGGUCCGAGCGUUAUUCGGAUUUACUGGGCGUACAGGGAGCGUAGGCGGUUCGGUAAGCCCUCUGUGAAAUCUUCAGGCUUAACCUGGAAAAGUCGGAGGGGACUGCUGGGCUAGAGGACGGGAGAGGAGCGCGGAAUUCCCGGUGUAGCGGUGAAAUGCGUAGAGAUCGGGAGGAAGGCCGGUGGCGAAGGCGGCGCUCUGGAACGUUUCUGACGCUGAGGCUCGAAAGCGUGGGGAGCAAACAGGAUUAGAUACCCUGGUAGUCCACGCCUUAAACUAUGAAUACUAAGUGUCGGCGGGUUACCGCCGGUGCCGCAGCUAACGCAUUAAGUAUUCCGCCUGGGAAGUACGGCCGCAAGGUUG